AAAGUUCGCAAAGGCGACCGUAAAGUGUUUCGAAAUUCCUGUCAAAAUGAUAAAUGGGGCAAGGAGGAAAGCGAAACUCCAUGUUUUCCUUUCGACUUUGGGCACAUUUCUGAGAUUGUCUUCUACGUCGAUAAAGAAAAAAUAAUGACCUUUGUCAAUGGUCAAUCGUUUAUUGAAUUCAAACAUCGCCUGCCUUUGGAGAGAAUUACACAUCUGUUCAUGGAUGGAGACUGCAAUUUCUACGAACCGGAAGUAUUGGUUUAAGAACACUUAUGACGUCAGUUAUGACGCCAGAGAGCAUCUGCUUCUUGUCUUUGAAAUAUAAGUCAAUGUAAAAACCGUUAGAGUGUAAUCUGCGAUGUAUAUACGAAUGUAUUUUUGUGGUCUACGUUAUAUACGGCCAUGUACAUCAUUUAAUUAGUCUCCUUUGUCGCUGUCAGUUGUCUACUACAUGGAAAGGAAAAUAUUUCACACAUAUUUAUCCCUUCUACUGCACAAUUACAGAUGUCGAUGUCCUUUUGCAUGAUCCAAUGUACAUGUACCUUGAACACUAUUAGCAACUUUAUUAUCUCAUAAUAAACAACUAUUUUUCAG
rnacentral:misc_RNA from 1 species